GGUGCCCCGCUUGCGGUCGGGUUUACAGGUGGUGCAUGGUUGUCGUCAGCUCGUGUCGUGAGAUGUUGGGUUAAGUCCCGCAACGAGCGCAACCCUCGUUCUAUGUUGCCAGCGCGUGAUGGCGGGGACUCAUAGGAGACUGCCGGGGUCAACUCGGAGGAAGGUGGGGACGACGUCAAAUCAUCAUGCCCCUUAUGUCUUGGGCUUCACGCAUGCUACAAUGGCCGGUACAAAGGGUUGCGAUACUGUGAGGUGGAGCUAAUCCCAAAAAGCCGGUCUCAGUUCGGAUUGGGGUCUGCAACUCGACCCCAUGAAGUCGGAGUCGCUAGUAAUCGCAGAUCAGCAACGCUGCGGUGAAUACGUUCCCGGGCCUUGUACACACCGCCCGUCAAGUCACGAAAGUUGGUAACACCCGAAGCCGGUGGCCUAACCCCUUGUGGGAGGGAGCUGUCGAAGGUGGGACUGGCGAUUGGGACUAAGUCGAAC
rnacentral:rRNA from 1 species